rnacentral:rRNA from 1 species
AAUGAACGCUGGCGGCGCGCCUAAUACAUGCAAGUCGAGCGAGAAGACGUAGCAAUACGUUUGUAAAGCGGCGAACGGGUGAGGAAUACAUGGGUAACCUACCCUCGAGUGGGGAAUAACUAGCCGAAAGGUUAGCUAAUACCGCGUACGCUCCUUGGACUUCGGUUCAGGGAGGAAAGCGAUACCGUGGGUAUCGCGCUCUUGGUUGGGCUCAUGUCCUAUCAGCUUGUUGGUGAGG